CCGGAGCUUGCUCCACCGAAAGAAAAGGAGUGGCGAACGGGUGAGUAACACGUGGGUAACCUGCCCAUCAGAAGGGGAUAACACUUGGAAACAGGUGCUAAUACCGUAUAACAAUCGAAACCGCAUGGUUUCGGUUUGAAAGGCGCUUUUGCGUCACUGAUGGAUGGACCCGCGGUGCAUUAGCUAGUUGGUGAGGUAACGGCUCACCAAGGCAACGAUGCAUAGCCGACCUGAGAGGGUGAUCGGCCACAUUGGGACUGAGACACGGCCCAAACUCCUACGGGAGGCAGCAGUAGGGAAUCUUCGGCAAUGGACGCAAGUCUGACCGAGCAACGCCGCGUGAGUGAAGAAGGUUUUCGGAUCGUAAAACUCUGUUGUUAGAGAAGAACAAGGAUGAGAGUAGAAUGUUCAUCCCUUGACGGUAUCUAACCAGAAAGCCACGGCUAACUACGUGCCAGCAGCCGCGGUAAUACGUAGGUGGCAAGCGUUGUCCGGAUUUAUUGGGCGUAAAGCGAGCGCAGGCGGUUUCUUAAGUCUGAUGUGAAAGCCCCCGGCUCAACCGGGGAGGGUCAUUGGAAACUGGGAAACUUGAGUGCAGAAGAGGAGAGUGGAAUUCCAUGUGUAGCGGUGAAAUGCGUAGAUAUAUGGAGGAACACCAGUGGCGAAGGCGGCUCUCUGGUCUGUAACUGACGCUGAGGCUCGAAAGCGUGGGGAGCAAACAGGAUUAGAUACCCUGGUAGUCCACGCCGUAAACGAUGAGUGCUAAGUGUUGGAGGGUUUCCGCCCUUCAGUGCUGCAGCUAACGCAUUAAGCACUCCGCCUGGGGAGUACGACCGCAAGGUUGAAACUCAAAGGAAUUGACGGGGGCCCGCACAAGCGGUGGAGCAUGUGGUUUAAUU
rnacentral:rRNA from 1 species